rnacentral:sRNA from 1 species
GAGCUGAGAGGACCAGCCAUUUUACUUAUGGAAAACAGUGUGGCAUAUUCUGCUGAGCUUCUCCCUGGAAGAAGCCUCUUUUAUACAUCUCUUCAGGGAAGAGAGAAGCAAUGGGCAUGUUAGUCUACAAUGAUCACAGCCACGCAGGCCUGCAAGCUGCCUUUUGGACAGGCUGUUGACUGCUGUUCCAAUUAGCUGAUUGGAGAAUGUGGAAUGCAGAGUGAUAAUGCUGCAUAUCUGCUAUCAGGCAGCAGCAAAGGUUUUUGUCUUGGGAAGGCAAGCUUUCCCUGCAAUAUUAUCUCAGCAGCUCCCUAGCUGCUUACCCUGAAAACGAGGGAUCCAAACGGAGGGUGUUGCCCUCUGCUAACGCUGGUCCUGUGCGUGGCUGUGGCAUGUGAGCGGCAGGUCUGAAAAAGCAGGUGUGUGCUGGGACGGGCACUGGACUGGAACGCAGGCGGACGCUCUCGGGUUUACCUGCUUCCUGUUAACAGAUUGUGGGCUCCCAGGGCAUAUGUCUGCACGCUGAGGCCGAGGCGGAGAAGGGGCUUCCUGAGCGUCCCAGUACACUGACAGAGACACUUGGAUUGGACUUAAUCUUAAACCUCUGGAGUUCAAGACCUUUUAAAAAGGGCUAAAUAAACAAUCUCUACAUGUAAAAGGCCACUGACUCCUGCUUCCUCUGUAUAGAGCAACUGUUGAACUCAGCUGCCUGUAAGAAAACUGAAGACUUUAAUAACAAACUCUCCAAGGUCAAAAUGAAUACAGAUAGCGGUGGGUGUGCUCGCAAACGUGCCGCCAUGUCUGUUACGCUAACAUCUGUGAAGAGAGUGCAAAGUUCUCCAAACCUAUUGGCUGCAGGGCGUGAUUCUCAGUCACCAGACUCAGCUUGGAGAUCUUACAAUGAUGGCAGUCAAGAGGCACUGAACGAAGAUGCUCCAUAUUCCUCUCUGGCAGCAAAAGGUUUUAGAAGCGUCCGACCAAACCUACAAGAGAAGAGAUCAGCAACUCAGAGCCAGAUAACAGUGAAUGGAAACUCAGGAGGUGCCGUGAGUCCCAUGAGUUACUAUCAGAGGCCGUUUUCCCCCUCGGCAUAUUCCCUCCCAGCCUCACUCAACUCCAGCAUUGUCAUGCAGCAUGGCACAUCCCUCGAUUCCACAGACACAUAUCCCCAGCAUGUGCAGUCUCUGGAUGGCACCACCAGCAGCUCUAUCCCCCUGUACCGAUCCUCAGAGGAAGAGAAGAGAGUGACAGUCAUCAAAGCCCCGCAUUACCCAGGGAUCGGGCCCGUGGAUGAAUCCGGAAUCCCCACAGCAAUUAGAACGACAGUCGACCGGCCGAAGGACUGGUACAAGACGAUGUUUAAGCAAAUUCACAUGGUGCACAAGCCGGAUGAUGACACAGACAUGUAUAAUACUCCUUAUACAUACAAUGCAGGUCUGUACAACCCACCCUACAGUGCUCAGUCACACCCUGCUGCAAAGACCCAAACCUACAGACCUCUUUCCAAAAGCCACUCCGACAACAGCACCAAUGCCUUUAAGGAUGCGUCCUCCCCAGUGCCUCCCCUACAUGUUCCACCUCCAGUCCCACCGCUUCGACCAAGAGAUCGGUCUUCAACAGAAAAGCAUGACUGGGACCCUCCAGACAGAAAAGUGGACACAAGAAAAUUUCGGUCUGAGCCAAGGAGUAUUUUUGAAUAUGAACCUGGCAAGUCAUCAAUUCUGCAGCAUGAAAGACCAGUAAGCACUUGUCAUUAAACAAAAUAUGCCAGCUCGCUGGGCUCCCAGGGU